rnacentral:misc_RNA from 1 species
UCCGAGUUGACCCCGGUAGUCUCCUAUGAGUCCCCACCAUCACGUGCUGGCAACAUAGAACGAGGGUUGCGCUCGUUGCGGGACUUAACCCAACAUCUCACGACACGAGCUGACGACAACCAUGCACCACCUGUGCAAGGCCCCGAAGGACACCGUGUUUCCACGGCUUUUCCCUGCAUGUCAAGCCUAGGUAAGGUUCUUCGCGUUGCUUCGAAUUAAACCACAUGCUCCGCUGCUUGUGCGGGCCCCCGUCAAUUCCUUUGAGUUUUAGCCUUGCGGCCGUACUCCCCAGGCGGGGCACUUAAUGCGUUAGCGUCGGCGCGGAAGGAGUCGACACCUCCCACACCUAGUGCCCAUCGUUUACGGCGUGGACUAC